UACGGAGGAUGCGAGCGUUAUCCGGAUUUAUUGGGUUUAAAGGGUGCGUAGGCGGGCUUUUAAGUCAGCGGUAAAAAUUCGGGGCUCAACCCCGUCCGGCCGUUGAAACUGGGGGCCUUGAGUGGGCGAGAAGAAGGCGGAAUGCGUGGUGUAGCGGCGAAAUGCAUAGAUAUCACGCAGAACCCCGAUUGCGAAGGCAGCCUUCCGGCGCCCUACUGACGCUGAGGCACGAAAGUGCGGGGAUCGAACAGG
rnacentral:rRNA from 1 species